UUGUGAAUUCAUAGAUUUGGUCGUGAAUUCAAGAACAUUAAAUUGUGAAUUCAUAGAUCUUGUAAGCAGAGUCGUCGACAUUAAUGGCGAGAAGCAGCAGCAAUGCAGAAAUAAUAGGCACACAAUCUCGAGCUAUUUUAGCCAGAAAAUUGGCAUAUUAGUCCAGCUAAAAGAUUCGCAAUCACUAAGAAUAAAAUUCGCCAGAAAAGAAAUUCAAUAGGAGACCAAAACCGAGUCGUUGAUCCAAG
rnacentral:lncRNA from 1 species